ACUGGCGGCGGCUUACACAUGCAAGUCGAGCGGGGAAAAGUAGCUUGCUACUUUACCUAGCGGCGGACGGGUGAGUAAUGCUUAGGAAUCUGCCUAUUAGUGGGGGACAACAUUUCGAAAGGAAUGCUAAUACCGCAUACGCCCUACGGGGGAAAGCAGGGGAUCUUCGGACCUUGCGCUAAUAGAUGAGCCUAAGUCGGAUUAGCUAGUUGGUGGGGUAAAGGCCUACCAAGGCGACGAUCUGUAGCGGGUCUGAGAGGAUGAUCCGCCACACUGGGACUGAGACACGGCCCAGACUCCUACGGGAGGCAGCAGUGGGGAAUAUUGGACAAUGGGGGGAACCCUGAUCCAGCCAUGCCGCGUGUGUGAAGAAGGCCUUUUGGUUGUAAAGCACUUUAAGCGAGGAGGAGGCUACUUAGAUUAAUACUCUGAGACAGUGGACGUUACUCGCAGAAUAAGCACCGGCUAACUCUGUGCCAGCAGCCGCGGUAAU
rnacentral:rRNA from 1 species